UAAACUGAAGAGUUUGAUCAUGGCUCAGAUUGAACGCUGGCGGCAGGCCUAACACAUGCAAGUCGAGCGCGAAAGUUUCUUCGGAAGCGAGUAGAGCGGCGGACGGGUGAGUAACGCGUAGGAAUCUACCCAGUAGUGGGGGACAACUCGGGGAAACCCGAGCUAAUACCGCAUACGCCCUAAGGGGGAAAGCAGGGGAUCUUCGGACCUUGCGCUAUCGGAUGAGCCUGCGUCGGAUUAGCUUGUUGGUGAGGUAAUAGCUCACCAAGGCGACGAUCCGUAGCUGGUCUGAGAGGAUGAUCAGCCACACUGGGACUGAGACACGGCCCAGACUCCUACGGGAGGCAGCAGUGGGGAAUAUU
rnacentral:rRNA from 1 species